CACGUCCGCACCACGUGACCUGUGCUAUAUAAUGCACGGCGUGGAGCUGUUCGGCCUUUUCCGCUCUCGCGGCUUUGAGGGUCCCGUAUUCCUCAGGCGGCCCCGUCGUUCAAUAUGUAUCAGCUACACUCUUCCUUCCUGUGGCUUCAGUGCAGAUAUGCCCCCAAAUGUGGAGACCUAAUACUACUCCUUCCCAAGGAUUUGAAUCCUGCACUUCAGAGGGAUGCAGAAGGAACAUCAUCAUCUGGCACUGGGACAUUAAACUAUAAGCUGUUAUGAGGCUGCCCUUGACAGAUAAGCCCCAUGCCUCUUAAAUGAGAAACUGUUUCACCUGUUACUGAUGUUGGUGAAGACAAGGCCUUCCUAAUGAAAGGCUUCCAAAUGUUUCUCAUUGUGAGGUGUGAUGGAGCUGGGAAGUGAUGGACCUGGUAGUGCUGCCAGCAGAAGGUGAAGCUUGCAUGGAGUUUAAAAAACAAGAUGAAUGUGCCUGAGGAAGGGACUGCGGUGUCUGCAGCCUCACUGGGUGAAGAGGCAGCUUUGAAACUAGCACAUGACUAAUUGAGAAGGUGGAAGAUUGCUGAUGAAUGAGUUACACUUGCAUGAACAGCAUUAAAAAAGCCAAUCUGUUUUUACCUCGCUGGUAAUGUUUGCCUGAUGUUGAUUGGAGUGAAUAAAAAUCUGUAAACUGUA